GGUAGGGUUACCCGCUGAACU
rnacentral:rRNA from 1 species